rfam:Oryza rufipogon genomic scaffold, chr01
AAAGAGCGUAGUUUUAUAUUCUUUAUGUUCAACGUUUAACCAUCAUUUUAUUUAAGAAUUUUUUAUAAUUAGUAUUAUUAGAUGAUAAAACAUGAAUAGCACUUUAUGUGUGACUAUUUUAUUAAUAUUUACAUAAAAUUUGAAAAUAAGAUAGACAGUCAAAUGUUGGAUAUGGAAACUCAUAACUGCACUUAAA